ACUCCUACGGGAGGCAGCAGUGGGGAAUAUUGCACAAUGGGCGCAAGCCUGAUGCAGCCAUGCCGCGUGUGUGAAGAAGGCCUUCGGGUUGUAAAGCACUUUCAGUCGUGAGGAAGGUAGUGUAGUUAAUAGCUGCAUUAUUUGACGUUAGCGACAGAAGAAGCACCGGCUAACUCCGUGCCAGCAGCCGCGGUAAUACGGAGGGUGCGAGCGUUAAUCGGAAUUACUGGGCGUAAAGCGCAUGCAGGUGGUUUGUUAAGUCAGAUGUGAAAGCCCGGGGCUCAACCUCGGAAUUGCAUUUGAAACUGGCAGACUAGAGUACUGUAGAGGGGGUAGAAUUUCAGGUGUAGCGGUGAAAUGCGUAGAGAUCUGAAGGAAUACCGGUGGCGAAGGCGGCCCCCUGGACAGAUACUGACACUCAGAUGCGAAAGCGUGGGGAGCAAACAGGAUUAGAUACCCUGGUAGGAUAG
rnacentral:rRNA from 1 species